rnacentral:rRNA from 1 species
UACGGGGGGGGCAAGCGUUGUUCGGAAUUACUGGGCGUAAAGGGCCAGUAGGCGGCCAACUAAGUCGGAUGUGAAAUCCCCAGGCUUAACCUGGGAACUGCAUCCGAUACUGGAUGGCUUGAAUUCGGGAGAGGGAUGCAGAAUUCCAGGUGUAGCGGUGAAAUGCGUAGAUAUCGGAAGGAACACCAGUGGCGAAAGCGGCUUCCUGGUCCAGCACCGACGUUCAGGCACGAAAGCGUGGGGAGCAAACAGG